UACAGAGGUCCCGAGCGUUGUUCGGAUUUAUUGGGCGUAAAGGGUGCGUAGGCGGCGGAGUAAGUUGGGUGUGAAAUCCCGAGGCUCAACCUCGGAAUGGCAUUCAAUACUGCUUCGCUCGAGUACUGGAGAGGAGGCUGGAAUUUACGGUGUAGCAGUGAAAUGCGUAGAUAUCCGGAGGAACACCGGUGGCGAAGGCGGCUUCCUGGACCGAUACUGACGCUGAGGCGCGAAAGCUAGGGGAGCAAACGGG
rnacentral:rRNA from 1 species